rnacentral:rRNA from 1 species
UACGGAGGAUCCAAGCGUUAUCCGGAUUUAUUGGGUUUAAAGGGUGCGUAGGCGGAUUGAUAAGUUAGAGGCGAAAUGUCCGAGCUCAACUCGGGAACUGCCUCUAAUACUGUUGAUCUAGAGAGUAGAUGCGGUAGGCGGAAUGUAUGGUGUAGCGGUGAAAUGCUUAGAGAUCAUACAGAACACCGAUUGCGAAGGCAGCUUACCAAUCUAUAUCUGACGUUGAGGCACGAAAGCGUGGGGAGCAAACAGG